rnacentral:rRNA from 1 species
AACGAACGCUGGCGGCAGGCUUAACACAUGCAAGUCGAGCGCCCCGCAAGGGGAGCGGCAGACGGGUGAGUAACACGUGGGAAUCUACCCAUCCCUACGGAACAACUCCGGGAAACUGGAGCUAAUACCGUAUACGCCCUUCGGGGGAAAGAUUUAUCGGGGAUGGAUGAGCCCGCGUUGGAUUAGCUAGUUGGUGGGGUAAAGGCCUACCAAGGCGACGAUCCAUAGCUGGUCUGAGAGGAUGAUCAGCCACAUUGGGACUGAGACACGGCCCAAACUCCUACGGGAGGCAGCAGUGGGGAAUAUUGGACAAUGGGCGCAAGCCUGAUCCAGCCAUGCCGCGUGAGUGAUGAAGGCCUUAGGGUUGUAGAGCUCUUUCACCGAUGAAGAUAAUGACGGUAGUCGGAGAAGAAGCCCCGGCUAACUUCGUGCCAGCCGCCGCUGUAAUAC